rnacentral:lncRNA from 1 species
GGAUAAUGGGAGACCAGGGCAGUUAGCCAGCAGUGAAAGGCUCAGUGUGAGAACCGGAGGCCUCUUUGGCCUGAAAAGAAAUCCGUCUCCUGCAGGGAAGAGCUGAUCUGUCUGGGCAGCAGCUGAAGAUGAUAGUGAGGACUUCCUGGCUCCGGACAUGCUUGAGGGGUCGGCCAGCGCUGGUCUGUGAAGGUCAGGACCCAAGCCGGGAAAACCUGAGCCCCUGAAAUAUGAGCUGGAACAUCUGGGUGGAAGCCCUGCGGAUGCGGCUCUGCAGACUCCUGACCCUUCGGAGCUGGUAGAAGGGCCCACCUUCCCUCGUAAGAGCCAGCACUUCCUUUGUGCUGGAAGAUGCUGCAGGGGCCUCCCCGCAACAAGGUGGCCUGCAUUGGGGGCCACCCGUCUGUCUCCUCGCUGCCAGGCCAAUGACUGGGGGGGAAAGAGGUUCUACACCAAGAGCUGCAGGAGCUGCUGGCUCCAUCUGCAAGAGGCAGGGAGGCCCUUGGGCUGGGCUUUGAGGGUCCUGGGCCCAGGAACCAGAAGUGAGGAUGGAUAAGCAGAAUUAUUGACUUUGGGGAACUUUCUCAGAACAUAGGAUUUCAUCCCCUGGCAAGGUCUUCAGGUCACGGGGCAAACUCAGUUCUGGGAUGGCUCAGAGAAGCCUGGAGAGAGUGAUGGCCCAUGUUGAGCAAAAUAGAAAUGCCCAAGCUGUCUUGGUAGAUGGCAAAGGAAGGAACGAAUAGGCCGAGGGCAGGGGAUCCAGUAAGAAGUCAUGAUCCCACUUGAGCCAGUUUUUUCCUCUGGAACCAUUGACUGCAGAGGUGGCUGAAGGGCCAGGAGGAAGAGCAAGGCCACAUCUUGGCAAGUGUAUGCUGUAGGACCCCCCAGUCCUACAUUUACUUGGAUGACUGAACACUGGGGAGGGGGACAACUGGACACAAGGUCUGUGUGGACACUGACCCCUGAAGACCCAGUGUCACUAUGGCCUCCCUGUGGAGGAGAGUUUAUGGGCUCAGGCAUCUCUCCAGCUCCCUGGGCGGAUGUCAGCACCACCAGGUGAACAUACGUGUUGGCUGGCAUGAUCAUGUGAGAACUGUCCAGCUGAACCCGGGGAAGCACAUCUCAGUGUCCCAUAUGGAGAGAAGAGGAGAAAAGCCUGUCCUUGGCUUAAGAGAGGCCAAAAAUGCAGUUAACCACACCCAACACCCAUUUCUGAUGAACCUCCGUCUCUUGUUAUGAGAAGUGCACACUCGUGCUGGUGGAAACCCAGGAGCAUUCCCACGUGUUCCUCUUUUCCCAGCUCCCGCCCUGAAUGCUGACUUGCCCUCACCCGGGCUCGCCACUGCUCUUCUUGCUGUGUCUCUGCUGCUCCAGCCACACAGGUCAGCACCUUCUCUGGGCGGCAGCCCCUCCGUGGUGCCCACUUG